rnacentral:rRNA from 1 species
GAUGAACGCUGGCGGCGUGCCUAACACAUGCAAGUCGAACGGAAAGGCCCUGCCUUUGUCGUGUGCUCGAGUGGCGAACGGGUGAGUAACACGUGGGUAACCUUCCUGUGACUUUGGGAUAACUUCCGGAAACCGGGGCUAAUACCGGAUAGGAGCUCCUGCUGCAUGGUGGGGGUUGGAAAGUUCCCGCUGUUGGGGCUGGAGCUGCGGGUUAUGAGCUUGUUGGUGGUGUAGUGGUAUACCAAGGCCGUGACGGAUAGCCCACAUGAGAGGGUGACCGGCCACAAUGGGACUGAGGUACGGCCCAGAGGGGAACGGGAGGCAGCGGGGGAAAGCAUUACACAAUAAGCGGAAGCCUGAUACAAAGGCGCCGGGUGCGUGAUGACGGCUUUAGGGGAAUAAACCGCUUUCGUCUGAGACGAAGGGUGGGUGACGGUACCGGAUGAAGAAGCACCGGCUAACUACGUG